rnacentral:lncRNA from 1 species
GUAAUAUAUUUGCUGAAUUUCAGAUCCCAAGAUCCCUUUCACCGCUGCAGUGCCCUAUACUGACUACACAAAGUGAUCCAUUCUGAAAAGCGGUGACCUCGGAGGCUAGUGCACGCUAUGGGUCAACGACGAAUACAAAGACGACUACCCUCAGAAAUACAUACAAAAGUACAAAGAAUACUGCGGUGAAGGAGUUUUAAUCUACGACAAGCAGACUUGUGCCGACCAGCAAGGUGCAUAGGUAGCGGCCGAGUAAAGUACCAAUACCAGGCGGCA